AAGGACUAACAUCAACUAUGAAGUGAGCAAGAAUUGAUUCUUGAAAAUGCCGGCACAAUUCUUUGUGAAUAUGUCUACUCUGUGAUGACUCAGGACCCCACCUUUGAAACAUGACUGUCAUCUCUAAGACCUCUGUGAGACAAAGAUGGAAAAAGAUAUGAGCAGGAGAUUUCUAUGUCACGGAGGCCAAGGACCUACAUUUUUAUGAAGCAACAUGUUUUGAAGACGAUUGUUACUAGUGACCUCUUUGCCAACUCCUUGACAGCUAUCACUAUGCUAUUCAGAGUCAAGGCAAGAAGGAAGAGAGCACACAAUAUACAACUCUACUACCUGAAUUUAAAAGGAGGAAUCCUGCUUUCCUCUUGGGAGUAGAUUUCUGUUUUUCAACUCCAAAUGUUUGUCUCUAUUUCAGAAUUCUGCCAAUAUAGGUUGGAUAUCUGUAAUCUGGAAAUCUACCAUCCAAAUUUUUUCUCAAUUCUGAAUCUUUUUAAAUGCAGAAAGAAAAAAAAAAAGCUACACUUGUGAAAUCCCCCACCUGACAUCCUUGAAAGGUCCCCCUGUAAUACAAGUGGUGAAUUUACC
rnacentral:lncRNA from 1 species